GACGAACGCUGGCGGCGUGCCUAAUACAUGCAAGUCGAGCGGAAGUUGGAGAGCUUGCUCUUCAACUUUAGCGGCGGACGGGUGAGUAACACGUGGGCAACCUGCCCUGCAGAUCGGGAUAACUCCGGGAAACCGGUGCUAAUACCGACUAGUUUUCGCCACCUCCUGGUGGCGUCCGGAAAGACGGUUUCGGCUGUCACUGCAGGCUGGGCCCGCGGCGCAUUAGCUGGUUGGUGGGGUAACGGCCCACCAAGGCAACGAUGCGUAGCCGACCUGAGAGGGUGAUCGGCAACACUGGGACUGAGACACGGCCCAGACUCCUACGGGAGGCAGCAGUAGGGAAUCUUCCGCAAUGGACGAAAGUCUGACGGAGCAACGCCGCGUGAGUGACGAAGGUUUUCGGAUCGUAAAACUCUGUUGUGAGGGAAGAACAAGUACCAACUAACUACUGGUACCUUGACGGUACCUCACCAGAAAGCCACGGCUAACUACGUGCCAGCCGCCGCCGUAACAC
rnacentral:rRNA from 1 species